AUGUGUAAGGCGUGUGUCUGCAGACAGCGGAGCCUGAGAACAGCCCUCGGGGACCCAGCCCUGAGCUUCCACCUUCCAGGGAGACCCGCCACCCCGGCCGGGCGCCUGCAGGGAUGCCAGCAGGUGGGCCUGGAGGAAAGGAGGCCAGCCAGCCUGCAGACCCUGCGCCCAGCUGCCCUGAGGGGCUGUGGAUGCAGCAGCAUGCCCUGGACCCGGGGGGCCACCAUCAACCCUGGUGGAGACACAGGCUGGAGAACAGGGCCGGGGUCCUGGUCUGAGGGAGGUGUGUCCUUCCGCAGCACCCCACUGUCAGGCUCCCCACCCACCCCCUGGCUGCUUUGUUUAGAGUCCCCCAUCCCACCUGGCCCUGCCACGCCUGGCUCCCAACCUGCUCCUGCACCAAUGGGUGCCCCACUCUCCUUCCUCCAGCCUUCCUGUGGCCACCACCAGGCCACUGUGUCUUCCCUGUCCCUGAUGUUCUGGACCUUCCCCGUGAGCUGCCCUCCCCUCACUGCCCGCACCAGGGCUUCUGUGCAGUCUCUGCUCCAUUCUCACAAGCAGCUGAUGAGGAAAUGGAAGCCCAGAGAAGGCAGAUUCUGCACCAGAAAAGAGGCCUCGCUCCCAGGAGUGCGGUUGACUUCAGAAGUUUGCUACAAACUAAAGAUGUGACUCAAGUUACAGGUCCAUGUUUUAAUCCAUCCAAAGGAGCUCCCACCCCUGGCUGCUGUCGUGUCCAUCAGCCGCAGCCAGGACUCAGGCCAGCAGUGCUGGAGCCGGGAGCAGGGCCCACACCCCGGACCAAGGGGCGCAAACAGAGGCCCCAGAGAAGGCUGUGUCCCACGCAGCCAGGCCCAGGCGCAGACUCCUCUCUCGGCCUUGUUGCUCUCUCUUUACUGCCUCCUUCAGCCUCACUGUGAGUGUGAUGUCAGAAGUAAAGGGUCCCAUCCCUUCAGUUCCUGUAAUGCCACUUCCCUGCAGACAAACAGCCACUUCCAGUGGGGGUGCAAGGGGCCCCUUCGAGUUGGUACUUUUUAUGGUCCUUGGGUUGAUGGUCUCUGUGAGACUGACAGGCAGGAAACAGGCACCAAGGGAAGUUCUUUGAGAGGGAGGUCCUAAUCCCACUGGAAGGCAGCACGCCAGCAAAGAGGGGACACAGCCAGGAGCAGCCAGGCGGGGAGCUCUCUCUGGAGCAGCAGAAUGGAUCAGGAGGGCAUAGCAGACAGGGGAAGCCCAUCCUGGAGGUGGGGUGGGUGAUGCUCGGGGCCAGGUGGAUGCACGUCCCUUCAAGGACUGAGGUGUGCACGUGUAUCUCAUUGUAUGGUGGAUGGAUGGAUAGAUAGAUGACGGAUUAGAUGGAUGGAUGGAUAGAUGGAUGAUGGAUUAGAUAGAUGGAUGCAUGCAUACAUGGAUGGAUGGAUGGAUAGAUGAUAGAUUAGACGGAUGGGUGAAUACAUAGAUGUUGGAUCAGAUGGAUGGAUAUGAUAUAUUAGAUGGAUGGAUGGAUGGAUGGAUGGAUGAUAGGUGGAUGGAUGGAUAGAUAGAUGAUGGAUUAAAUGGAUGGAUAGAUAGGUGAUAGAUUAGAUGGAUGGAUGGAUGGAUGAUGGAUUAUGUGGAUGGAUGGAUGAUAGAUGUAAAAGUGUAGGUAUAGAAAUUGUGGAUAACUGGACAAAUGGACAGACCGAAGGAAAGACGGGUAGAGAUAGAUGUGUUGUGUGUAGGUUAGGGUUCCAUAGGCUCAAAGGAGGCAGUGUUCCACAGUGACUGAAAAAUUGGGCUUUGAAACUCAACAGACCUGAGGUCAAGUGUCAGGUUACUGGCAACAUGACUGAGCACUCAUCCAGGCCUAGUCUCCUUCCUUCUCAUCUGUGUGGUGGAGAUGCAUAUUUAUAUGACACUACGACCCACUGUGGCAGGUGCUGUGAGCCUGAAACACUCGGGCUGCACAACGAGGGGCUGAGGCUGCUGUCUGGCUUCUUACUCUUAUCUGCCUGUGCACCAGACAUUGUUCAAGGGCUUGGGACAAAACCACGAGAAACAGGCACAGACCCCUGCCCAGAAGGACACCUUCCCGCAGGGAGACAGGCGAUGAGAUCCAGAGGCCGUUUACAGGUGCUGGUGAGGAGCUCAGGCCAGGGCAGGCUGGGGUCGGGGGGAAGGGACUCGAAGGAGACCGGGGAAGCGUGUGCCUCGUUCCCACCCUGGCGAGGAGGGCCCAGCUGUGGAGCAGAAGCAAGGAGGGCAGGGGAGGUUUGGGGUCCAGAGGUUCCUUAAGACCAGAAAGCACCUCAGAUUCACUGUGUCCACUGUCCUGAGGAAAUGGGACUCCAGACUGGCCUCGAUUGAUCUAAAAAAUAAAACCAAAAGAAAACAAAAAGCUACGACA
rnacentral:lncRNA from 1 species